GGCAGUGACUCCACGAAGCUAGCCUGAUCCCUAAGCUCUUACCUUAAGAGAGAGGAACGGCAACAACUUCAAGAAUCUGAGAGAACCUCUGGGAGCUGCAACUGAUUGCCAUUCUGCACCGGCUGAAACAAAAGGCGCUAUGGUGAGGCCAAAGAGGGGCAACCUCGAGUUGAGGAGGUCCCUGGAGCGACAGGUUAAGUAUGACAACGGCACCCACCCGAGGCAGCUGGCUCACAGCAAGAUGGAGAUGGACAUGGAGCUUGCAGCCCCAGCUCCGCCUGCUGCCCAAGCUCCGCCGCCUGUCCACGGCCCUGCCCCAGCAAUCCAGGGCCACGCCCAUGCCGCCGUCCCUGCUGUACCUCUCCCUGCCAACCAUGACGCCGCCGAGGUGGCCGGCGGUGAGCCCGGGUGGAAGAGAGUGACACGUUUGUGCACCAUUCUCUAGGCUUUAAGCCAAAGAGAACGUAUCUGCCAAACCGUUUUGCGGACCAGUAUUCUACGUCAUAUUUGUUAGAGAACCUGAAGUAAUGCGUUUACUGAAGUACCUUAAUGAUCAGAGACCACUGUGGAGUACCCAAACAAAGUCGUACUAUGGAGCUUUUAGUGCCUGUAAUGCUUUGGCCUUAGUGAUCAUCGAAAUGUACCGUGGAGCUGCAGAUGAUGUGAUGUGAUGGACUGAUGGUGGUUCCAUUCCGUCAAAUUCUUCAGA